AGCGGCGGACGGGUGAGUAACACGUGGGUAACCUGCCCAAGAGACUGGGAUAACACCUGGAAACAGAUGCUAAUACCGGAUAACAACACUAGACGCAUGUCUAGAGUUUGAAAGAUGGUUCUGCUAUCACUCUUGGAUGGACCUGCGGUGCAUUAGCUAGUUGGUAAGGUAACGGCUUACCAAGGCAAUGAUGCAUAGCCGAGUUGAGAGACUGAUCGGCCACAUUGGGACUGAGACACGGCCCAAACUCCUACGGGAGGCAGCAGUAGGGAAUCUUCCACAAUGGACGAAAGUCUGAUGGAGCAACGCCGCGUGAGUGAAGAAGGGUUUCGGCUCGUAAAGCUCUGUUGGUAGUGAAGAAAGAUAGAGGUAGUAACUGGCCUUUAUUUGACGGUAAUUACUUAGAAAGUCACGGCUAACUACGUGCCAGCAGCCGCGGUAAUACGUAGGUGGCAAGCGUUGUCCGGAUUUAUUGGGCGUAAAGCGAGUGCAGGCGGUUCAAUAAGUCUGAUGUGAAAGCCUUCGGCUCAACCGGAGAAUUGCAUCAGAAACUGUUGAACUUGAGUGCAGAAGAGGAGAGUGGAACUCCAUGUGUAGCGGUGGAAUGCGUAGAUAUAUGGAAGAACACCAGUGGCGAAGCGGCUCUCUGGUCUGCAACUGACGCUGAGGCUCGAAAGCAUGGGUAGCGAACAGGAUUAGAUACCCUGGGUAGUCCAUGCCGUAACGAUGAGUGCUAAGUGU
rnacentral:rRNA from 1 species